UAAAUAACCAAGUUUAAGUCUCACGUGAAU
rnacentral:piRNA from 1 species